GAGGAUAUAGCUCAGUGGUAGAGUGCAUACCUAGCAUGCACGAGGUCCUGGGUUCAAGCCCCAGUACCUGCA
rnacentral:tRNA from 1 species